rnacentral:rRNA from 1 species
GUGGGGAAUUUUGGACAAUGGGCGCAAGCCUGAUCCAGCAAUGCCGCGUGCAGGAAGAAGGCCUUCGGGUUGUAAACUGCUUUUGUACGGAACGAAACGGUCCGGGUUAAUACCCUGGGCUAAUGACGGUACCGUAAGAAUAAGCACCGGCUAACUACGUGCCAGCAGCCGCGGUAAUACGUAGGGUGCAAGCGUUAAUCGGAAUUACUGGGCGUAAAGCGUGCGCAGGCGGUUUUGUAAGACAGGCGUGAAAUCCCCGGGCUCGACCUGGGAGUUGCGCUUGUGACUGCAAGGCUGGAGUGCGGCAGAGGGGGAUGGAAUUCCGCGUGUAGCAGUGAAAUGCGUAGAUAUGCGGAGGAACACCGAUGGCGAAGGCAAUCCCCUGGGCCUGCACUGACGCUCAUGCACGAAAGCGUGGGGAGCAAACAGGAUUAGAAACCCUUGUAGUCC